rnacentral:rRNA from 1 species
UACGGGGGGGGCAAGCGUUGUUCGGAAUUACUGGGCGUAAAGGGCUCGUAGGCGGCCAACUAAGUCAGACGUGAAAUCCCUCGGCUUAACCGGGGAACUGCGUCUGAUACUGGAUGGCUGGAGUUUGGGAGAGGGAUGCGGAAUUCCAGGUGUAGCGGUGAAAUGCGUAGAUAUCUGGAGGAACACCGGUGGCGAAGGCGGCAUCCUGGACCAAUACUGACGCUGAGGAACGAAAGCCAGGGGAGCAAACAGG